UUCCGCGCUUUUCCCGCCAGCAGCGGGGG
rnacentral:sRNA from 1 species